rnacentral:rRNA from 1 species
AAAUUGAAGAGUUUGAUCAUGGCUCAGAUUGAACGCUGGCGGCAGGCCUAACACAUGCAAGUCGAACGGUAACAGGAAACAGCUUGCUGUUUCGCUGACGAGUGGCGGACGGGUGAGUAAUGUCUGGGAAACUGCCUGAUGGAGGGGGAUAACUACUGGAAACGGUAGCUAAUACCGCAUAACGUCGCAAGACCAAAGAGGGGGACCUUCGGGCCUCUUGCCAUCGGAUGUGCCCAGAUGGGAUUAGCUAGUAGGUGGGGUAACGGCUCACCUAGGCGACGAUCCCUAGCUGGUCUGAGAGGAUGACCAGCCACACUGGAACUGAGAC